GUUAGCCGAAAUUGCCACUCUUAUAGCACUAGUCAUUUCGUUUUCUGAUAUUAAUUCCAUCCUUCAUAACAUAAAUCUUUCUUGAUUCCCAGUCAUUUUCAAGCCUAGACGAUCAUGUGAAAACAUGAAAUUACAUGACACGAAAUUCUUGUACACAUCCGAAUCUGAGAAUCUUAUGACGAUAAACGAAACCAAACUUGCGUGCUCUUGUAAGAUUCAUG
rnacentral:lncRNA from 1 species